CACCGACCAGGGCUCAAGCUACGGAUUGAUUAAGAAAGGACUUUUCCCUUAUAGACCUUGCACACAAAUUGUGUUGGUACGUCAGCCUUCACCUAUGGGAUGUAGUUGCACUUAGGAUAUUGUGUUCACGAACUGCUUUAAUGUUGGAAAAGGAGCGUCACCUAAAUGAUUUGGGAUCCAGAGUGAAGACCUUUAUGAUUUUUGAAAGAAAAACACUGCAGCCGCUGAAUGUCAAGGCUGUGAUUCAAGAGGAAAAAAUCUGACACGGAUACCACUGUAAUAAGGUCACUGGCAGUUCUGCUAGCAACAUUCAAUGGCAAUCAGAUCAGCUUCACUGUGAGGGAAACAUUUAGAAGAGCAGCUAAAGAAAAUGAGAGGAAAAAACCAUUUUGCCCCAUAAAGACUUUAAGUC
ensembl:lncRNA